GCUGAUGCUAUACCGCUGAGACACCAGGGAAGCCCAAGAGAUGAGCUGUAAGUGUCAGCAAAUGGCAGAACAAAAUGACUGGCAGACAAAGAGGUUUGUAUUUAAACAGGGGAUUGACACUGGCUGCUAACUUCACACUUUCCUCUAUUGUCUCUUUAUAUAACACACCUAUUUGAUGAACGGGCAUCUCUAACAAUACUGAAAACAUAGCAGGUGUUCACAGACUACACUAAGCGCAUGACUCAGAGUAUCAGAUUGGUCCAUCUGGGUGGUGCCCAAGGGUUUACCCUGCUCUGCACAUGGAUACAUCUCACGUUUCACGGGUUUCACUCUCUCUAAUCUAGUGAUUAGUAUGGCAUAACUGAAAAUGCUUGGGACAGUGUUCACCAGUUAAAUGGUAUCUUAUUAUUUAAGCCUUGUUCAGAAGCCAGUUCCUCCCCGUCUAAUUGACCUUUCCAGAAACCUGUACACUGUUUAUGCCUAUGGUAACUCAACAGCUUAAAACAUUACAUUCCUGAAGUGGAAUACGUUUGCCUCAAAGAGACACUUGGUAAUAAAAUAAAUGGCCUUACAAUAAAUGUUAAGGAAACACUGAAAUAACUUCAUAAUUCAUCUGCUUUUUAAGAACAGCAAUAGAACCAUGUCAUAGGCAGGACAACUGAAAAUCAAGCAGAUUACAAAAGUUUAUAAAAUCAAAACACACACACACAUACACACACAAACCAAAACACAAUGUUUUUCUCUAACAUCUUUAUAAAACAAUUUGAAUAUAGAAAUAUCCUAAAGAUAGUACCCCCCCCAGAAUAAAACAUCUAAAUGUGGGCUUAAGUCAACCUUUCUGUUAUGUAUUAACUAAAUACAAGUACCAUACAGCAUCUCUUGUGACCCAUCCUGAACCAAUUUGCCUUCCUUGUGUCUCAGAACCUUCACAUGCACUCCACGCAAAAGGUCACUGGCAAAAGGUCACUGGUAAAGUGUUAGGGAAGUACGUGGCAGGAGGCUUACAAGUCUUAAUAAACUCUUGCUGACUCAAUGUACCCUAUGAACAAUACAACAGGUACCCAGAAAUUAUUUUUCUGCUCAUUUUAAGUUCUUAAAAUCACUAACAUUUAUUGAUUAUAGGACUAACUGCAACUUAAAGACUUAUUUAUGAGGAACACUCCUCUCCCUGAACUAAGACUUGGGAGAAUAACUAUCUCCAAGUGGACCUGGGGAUGCUUAUUAAUAUCAAUACCAAUGGAAUAUACAAUUAGUAAAAUGUGAACUCUUGUAUUACUAAUUCACCAAAUGUUCACUAAGUAAGUUCCACGUGCUGGACACCAUUCCUAGGUUUGGGGGAUACAGCCCAAAACAAAACAGACCCUCUAAUGUAAACUUAAGUCUUCAGGUUUCUUGAAGAGGUUACCUGAAAAAUUAACAUAUAUUCACUCAUAUAUAUUUACACUUAUCUGUGUUAAAUUGAGACUACAUCAAUAUGAUUACUAAUCUCAAACACUCAUCAACUGAAAGUUCCUCGUAUGUAUUAGAAAGAGGUACUAGAGAGAUGUUCAAAGAAUUGCAUUUAGACUAUUACUUGAGAAAUACAAUGAUUACCUAACCUAAGAGCUAAUAUCAGAGGAAAGGAGGAGAAGGAGGAGUAUGAAAAAAGGAAAUUAAAAAAAGGAAGAGAGAGAGGGAGGAAAAUUAACAGGGAGAAUAGGAGAUUUAGGACUCUGUUGUGGCUUUUACUGGCUUUAUUUCAAACGCAGAAACUUUUCUUUCUGUUUCCCAGAACCUUUAAGACUAUGCUAUUUUCCUGCUGAAUAAAGUAAAAGAAUAUAGCCAUGAAAAACAUGAAUUGGCUUGAUUAUAAAAAAAACAAAUACCUCUGGUAUGAACUGAAUUGGCUGCCCUCAAAUUUGUAUAAUGAAACCUCAAACCCCAGUGUGACUGGGUGUCUACUUGGAGACAGACCCUAGAAAGAUAUCCUCUGCUGUUCUGCUGGACAACGCCAACGGAGAAGUCUUCGAAGGAAUUUAAAUAAUCCCAGCCUCACUGAAAACAGCAGCACAGAAAUCUUGGCUGACUCUUCUGAAACCAAACAGCGUCUGCUCUACAUGCUGAAGACAAUUUCUGUGGCACUCUCUCUUGUUCGUGUACCAUGUGAGAUUAUAAAAAAUUGUAUUUCUUUAAUGCCAACCUUAAAAUGCAGAGGCGAUGUCAUAUAUCCACAUUUGGCAAUCACUCUGUUAGGACUUCUAUGUUCUCAGUGGCAAGAACUGAUUUGUUAGUUCACAGGGUUACUAGUACUUCCACAGGAUUCACCUUUUCAGAUAAGGAUAGUACCACUUUUAUUUUUCAAUAAAUCUGUAGGAUACUUAUACAUUAAGGACAA